AGUCUAUUUGAACAAAAUGGAGUCUAAGAUGGAAGAGAUGGAAAAAAGCAAGACAAUCAAAGCAGGGAUUGUCAUGGGGGAUGUUAUUGGUCUUGUUCAUGUGCAAGCCAAAAGUACAGAAACCAAAGACAUAUGCUACUCUUCAGAUGAGGACAUUAUAAACGAUGUUGAUUGUCAAAGUAACCUGAAGGAAGGUUUUCCCUGGUCUGUAAAUAUUUCCAGUGAGGCCUUUAAUAAAUCACGACGAGAAAACAAUGGAACAGCAUUUCUUGGAAUUCUGCAAUUCUACGAUAUGACAAAUGAGUUUGAAACUCAAAAUUACAUUGUUUUGAACAAUGUGGUUUAUGGAAUAACGAUGAAGGCCAAAAUCUCCAACCUUACAGAUACUAUUGACAUGUUCUUUGCACAAAGCGAUCAGGGCAGUAAUGCGUCCUGCGUUUCUUGGGAUGGUAAAGGAGAGCUUUAUUGGACAACAUCCGGAUGUAAGACAGAAACGAUUGAAGAAUCAAACACCAUAAAGUGCUCCUGCUCACAUCUGACGUUCUUUGCAGUGCUGAUGAUCCCUCCGUCUCAGGCAGAAGAAAAUAUCACACAGCAGGAUCUGGAAUCAUUGACUUAUAUCACUUCUAUCGGCUGCGGCAUCUCCAUGUUUUUUCUAUCCAUCGCUUUAUUCAUGCAUUUCCUGCUGCGGUAAAGUAUCUUCAUAUAUAAUUAGAAUUGUUUACUGUAAAAAGUCGCCUCGGUUAUACGAACAGUUAUUUUUAUGUUUUAAUAGGAAAGCCAAAUCAAAUCAGGCCACAAAGAUCUUGAUGAACAUGUUUGUGGCUUUGUGUCUACUGAAUGUCUCGUUUUUGUCAAAUGAGAGCGUCGCUAACACGGGAGACAAUGCUGCGUGCGUCUUCAUAGCGCUGCUCCUGCAUUACUCCAUGCUGGCCUCAUUCACCUGGUUCUUCAUUCAAGCUCUUCAUAUGUACUUAUGGCUCAUCAGACAGAACGUCUCCACCACAAACUACAUGAGGAAGAUCACCGUGUUGGGCUGGGGUGAGUUAGAGCAAGAAAUAAACUUGUUUCAAACCAUCUAUUCCA
ensembl:lncRNA